GCUACCUAUGAAAGUUUAAUCUGUGUGUGAAGUAAUUGUAAAUAAAGCAGGGUACUUUUUCACUCAAGUUAAAAUAGUUAAUUCUCUGUUUUCUUAUUUGAUGUUCUGUGCGUUGAAGUACGAAAUUGUUUGAAUGAUUACUAUUUAGCCAUUAGAACAUAUUGUGCGGUGUAUCGUAGCUGGUAUUUCGUCAGUAUAAAGCGGAAAAAAUUCUUCUCUGGCACUAGUAAUCUGCAUAGAUCAUGGAUCUGAAAAGUUGCUGGAAUAGGCUUGCUAAAACAUUUCCUCACUGUGCUUGUUAUGCUGACAAGAACAGCAACAAAUGCAAAUUGUUGAGCUAAAUUGUAUGUUAUGAUUGCUAAAAAAAAGGGUAUCGACCGGGUAUAUCGAUUUCAUCAUGUGAAAUGAAAUAAACGAUGCACAAAGAAACGUGAAAUAAACGAUGCAUAACAUAGAUUGAACGACUCAGAAUCGAUCCAACGAAAACUGCUCGGCAAUAAACUUCGUUCUCCCAAGUGUGAACCCUACAACUAAACGAGUAAUUCUGAGGACUGCUUCUGUACCCGUUGCUUUUAUCGAUUGUAAUUCAAUGCAUGCCUCCAAUUUGUUUACUUAUAUAUUUUUGUAUUUAAUAAAUUUAUUCAUCUGACAAUAAAA